UACGAAGGGGGCGAGCGUUGUUCGGAUUUACUGGGCGUAAAGGGCGCGUAGGCGGCCCUCUUUGUCGCGUGUGAAAGCCCCGGGCUCAACCUGGGAAUGGCAGUGGAAACUAGGGGACUGGAAUCUGGCAGAGGGGGGUGGAAUGCCGCGUGUAGCAGUGAAAUGCGUAGAGAUGCGGCGGAACACCGAUGGCGAAGGCAGCCCCCUGGGCUGAGAUUGACGCUCAGGCACGAAAGCGUGGGGAGCAAACAGG
rnacentral:rRNA from 1 species